rnacentral:rRNA from 1 species
GACAGAGGGUGCGAACGUUGCUCGGAAUGACUGGGCGUAAAGCGCGUGUAGGCGGCUCCGCAAGUCCGGUGUGAAAGCCCAGGGCUCAACCCUGGAAGUGCACUGGAAACUAUGGAGUUGGAGUUUUGGAGAGGAGAGCGGAAUUUCCGGUGUAGAGGUGAAAUUCGUAGAUAUCGGAAGGAACACCAGUGGCGAAGGCGGCUCUCUGGACAGGUACUGACGCUGAGACGCGAAAGCGUGGGUAGCAAACAGGAUUAGAUACCCUGGUAGUCCACGCCGUAAACGAUGAGAACUGGGUGUUGCGGGUAUUGACCCCCGCGGUGCCGAAGCUAACGCGUUAAGUUCUCCGCCUGGGAAGUACGGCCGCAAGGCUAAA